rnacentral:rRNA from 1 species
UACGAAGGGGGCGAGCGUUGUUCGGAUUUACUGGGCGUAAAGGGCGCGUAGGCGGCGGGUCAAGUCGAGUGUGAAAGCCCCGGGCUCAACCUGGGAAUUGCGCUCGAGACUGGUCUGCUUGAGUUCGGGAGAGGAGAGUGGAAUUCCCAGUGUAGAGGUGAAAUUCGUAGAUAUUGGGAAGAACACCGGUGGCGAAGGCGGCUCACUGGCCCGGUACUGACGCUGAGGCACGAAAGCGUGGGGAGCAAACAGG